rnacentral:rRNA from 1 species
UUGGGUUUAAAGGGUCCGUAGGCGGUUUUUUAAGUCAGAGGUGAAAUCCUGCAGCUCAACUGUAGAAUUGCCUUUGAUACUGAAAGACUUGAGUUAUUGUGAAGUGGUUAGAAUGUGUGGUGUAGCGGUGAAAUGCAUAGAUAUCACACAGAAUACCAAUUGCGAAGGCAGAUCACUAACAAUAUACUGACGCUCAGGGACGAAAGCGUGGGUAGCGAACAGGAUUAGAUACCCUGGUAGUCCACGCCGUAAACGAUGGAUACUAGCUGUAUGUCUACUUCAGGUAGAUGUGUGGCUAAGCGAAAGUGAUAAGUAUCCCACCUGGGGAGUACGAUCGCAAGAUUGAAACUCAAAGGAAUUGACGGGGGCCCGCACAAGCGGUGGAGCAUGUGGUUUAAUUCGAUGAUACGCGAGGAACCUUACCAGGGCUUAAAUGUAACGGGACAGAUCUAGAGAUAGAUCCUUCUUCGGACUCAUUACAAGGUGCUGCAUGGUU